CAGAAACCCACAAUCGGCCUUAGCCGCGGUCUGACAUAUGCCCUGGCCAUGAGGAGGAGGAUGUGAGCUUCUUUCUUCUCCCCGGGUGGAAUGCUAUGGAAUGUUCCCCAACUCCUCUGUCCCCAGCAGGGCGAGGGAAGCAGGAAGACCCCUGGAACACCAGGAGCAAGAAAGAGGCAGGCAGGGCGGCUGGCCAGGUUUGUGCUCGACUGUAUUCACUCAGAGACACGUGGCAGCUUACAUUGGACAAAAUGAGUAAUAAAAAUUGGCUUUAAAUACGGAAAAACCAGGGCCUUAUAAUCCCAUGCUACCCUAACACUGGGACCAGGAUGGCCAUUACCAUCUGGAAAGGACCAGAACCGGGGCCUGGGGUGCAGGCACACACACACCUUGGCCAACCCCCUUCACAUACACGCACACACUCACAUACACACCCCACAGGCACACACAGGGAGGGAUGGAUUAUUGCUGGGCACAUGUGUCUUUUUUUAAGAGGGGAGUCUGGAAUGUUUGAGAGUUGGGCAGGGACAACCUCCUCCCCCCUU